rnacentral:rRNA from 1 species
GAUGAACGCUGGCGGCGUGCUUAACACAUGCAAGUCGAACGGAAAGGCCUCUGCUUGCAGGGGUACUCGAGUGGCGAACGGGUGAGUAACACGUGGGUGAUCUGCCCUGCACUUCGGGAUAAGCCUGGGAAACUGGGUCUAAUACCGGAUAGGACAAUGGUUUGGAUGCCGUUGUGGAAAGUUUUUCGGUGUGGGAUGGGCUCGCGGCCUAUCAGCUUGUUGGUGGGGUAAUGGCCUACCAAGGCGUCGACGGGUAGCCGGCCUGAGAGGGUGUACGGCCACAUUGGGACUGAGAUAGGGCCCAGACUGCUACGGGAGGCAGCAGGGGGGAAUAUUGCACAAUGGGCGCAAGCCUGAUGCAGCGACGCCGCGUGGGGGAUGACGGCCUUCGGGUUGUAAACUCCUUUCGCUAGGGACGAAGCGCAAGUGACGGUACCUGGAGAAGAAGCACCGGCUAACUACGUG